ensembl:lncRNA
GUGGGAUCCAGUUCCCUGACCAGGAAUUGAACCCAGCUUGCCUGCAUCGGGAGCAUGGAGUCUUAGCUAGUGGACCACCAGGGGAGCAUGCCCUCCUGCUCUCUGAGCACAUUCAGGUCUCAACUUUCCGCAUUCUGGAACCAGAAAUACUGAGCACCCAUUCAACCCAGGAGAAGGGAGUGGAGGUGGCAGGAUCAGAACAGCUGUUGGCUGGCCACCCACUUUGUCCCCAUAAGAAGGGAUCAGGAGAUUGCAAAUUGGGUAAGAAAAUCCUCUCACCUCCAGCUCAAGACUGUAAUC